AAAAACUCAAAAGGCACAUUGUACUUUUAGAAAUUGCUUUUAUUUAGUAUUCUUCGUUUGACUACAGCGGUGUUAUGUUGGUUUGAUUUGCGCUCGCUGUACAAUUUUGUGUGUCAGUUGAACAGUUUUUGUCGAAUAAAUUAAAACUAACGGCGUGUGAGAUAUAAGUACAACGAAGAAUAUGCAUUCUGAAUUGCAAACCAUCUGUGAAGAAUAGAACACAGUUUAUUAUUAUACGUACAUAUAUAAGCUGGAAUAUAAUCGAUUAUUUGGCAUUAGUUUUGUUUUGACAACAACGAAUACCAAUUUAUCAUUUGUGUGAUAUUAUUCAUAUUGCCGGUAAAUACUGUAAAAAAUUAUACCAUAUAACAUAAUUUCCGUUUCUUCCUUAACAAUUUGUAAAGCUGCAUAUACAUUGCUUUUAUAUUGUUAACAUAUGCUGCAUCCGGAAUCAAAAUUUGUUACGAGACUGGGAAAUCGAUUCGUAAAUUAUGGGCGAAAAUCAACUUCUUAGCGAAUCAAACAGUUCCAAAGGACUUAUAGUUAUCACUUCUAACGGAAUCUCUAAUGAUAGCGACGCACAAAGCAAUAGAGUGGCUAUAAAACCAGCGCUAUCCGCGGAACACAUUACAGCGCCCUGUUGUCGAGACAUUCACGGGAAUGAACCCCCAGAUGGCGGUAUGCGAGCGUGGCUAGUUAUGACUAGUGCCUUUAUAUGUAAUGGUGUCAUAUUUGGAAUAAUUAAUACGUAUGGUAUCUUAUAUGCCUUGUUGACGGAUCGGCUUAUCCAGGCGGGCGACAAUGAAGCUUCGAGCAAAGCUGCUUUGGUUGGCUCAUUGACCAUUGGUACCACCUUUUUAUUCUCACCAGUUGCAGGUGUUUUGACAGACAAAAUUGGAUUGCGAUUGACAACAUUAAUUGGGGGCUUACUCUCCGCCACAGGUCUACUCCUCUCAUCAUUCUUUACGUUAAACAUCCAAGCUAUGUAUUUGACGUAUGGUGUUAUGUUUGGUUUGGGUGCCGCAUUGGCCUACACUCCAACAUUGGCAAUUUUGGGGCAUUAUUUUAAACGAUAUUUAGGAAAAGUAAGUGGAUUUGUUACAGCCGGUUCCAGUGUAUUCACAGUAAUAUUACCGUCAAGCUUGGACUAUUUGUUAAGAGGUUAUGGUUUGGAAACUAUGUUGCAAGUUAUGAGUUUGGUGUCUUGCUUCAUAAUUGCUUGUUCCUUCGUUUAUAAACCGUUACAUCCUCCGCCUUGUCCGCCAAAAAAAAAGCCGGGCCGUUCACGCAUUAAUAUGAUUAUUCGCUCUAUUAUCAACGUAGACAUCUGGAAACGCAAGAAAUAUGUGAUAUGGGCGCUUUGUGUCCCCAUAGCUUUGUUCGGCUAUUUUGUGCCUUAUGUGCAUAUGAUGAAGUUCGUGCAGAAAACUUUUCCUGGAAAAAGCAAAAAUCUGCCUGUGAUGUGUAUUGGCGUGACAUCCGGCAUUGGCCGAUUGAUAUUCGGAAUUAUUGCCGAUCUGCCGAGAGUUAACCGUAUAUAUUUGCAACAGCUAUCGUUAACGUGCAUUGGUGUAAUAACGUUAUUGUUGCCAUUAACCAGCUCAUAUGCACUACUAAUUGCUUUCACAUUAAUAAUGGGUUUAUUUGAUGGCUGCUUUAUUUCUCUUCUAGGUCCCAUAGCGUAUGAGUUAUGUGGACCUUCUGGUGCAACGCAAGCCAUUGGCUUUUUAUUAGGACUGAGUUCGUUUCCUUUAACAAUGGGACCACCCAUUGCAGGGUGGAUCUAUGAUCAAACCGGCUCAUAUACUUUACCCCUCCUUUUGGCUGGAAUACCGCCCAUAUUGGGCUCAACUAUUAUGUUCCUAAUACGAUGUGUUCGGAAUGACAGUGAUUAUGAAGCGAAUGUGUCAAGCGAACCCAAAGCAGAGAGUGGAAAUAUACAAAACGCUAAUUGGAAAAUUGCCGAGCAAAAUUUCAAUGAGCCGUUGUUGAGAGGAUCUGAGGAAACAAAAUGUGCUGACAGGAGAUGCGCAUUGGCAGACUCCAUUCGCAAAACGAAUUCCUCUGAGUCAGGUAUUAGUCGAUAUUUUAUGGCCGGUAAACUUUCGGUAACUUUAGAAAAACGUAGAAUUAUAACUGCUUGUGUUCAUGAUGCUCCCAGUAGUGAAAUAACUAGUCAUCCCAUUUGCUCAAAAACUGCUUUGCUUGAUACGCGUUGCAUGUCAUUAUCGAUUGCAAAUGAAGAAGUCUUGACAACUGACGAAGCUUGUUCAGGAACAGUCGAGCGCUUAUACGAGUACGUCACGCAAAAACGCCGUUAUGCAUAUUCGAUUUAUUAACUUUUGUAUAUUCAUUCAUGUAUGUAUGUAUGUAUUCGUAUAUACUUAUUUAUUGUUUUUAAUUAAACCAAUUUAAAUGAAUUAGAAGUAACAUUCAAAUGCAUUUGAAGUAUACGUUUCAUACCUAUAGUAUACACAUAAGUAUAAACCGAUUAGUAUUUACUUCUCCUACAUAUUUAUGUAUAUACAUAUAUAUAAAUGCCCAUGUGCAAUAGGGUGUUUCUUAAAAAAUCGAAUGAACUGUUUUUUUCUAGUUUAACAAAAUAAGAUAUUAGCAAACAAGUAAGGUGGGCUAAGUUCAGGUGAAACCGAAAAUUUCAUACCCUUUCAUACUUUCAGGUGCAUAUGGUUUGUUAGUUAUACUAUACAUAUGUACGUGUGUGGUAUAAGGCCUGCUCUCAUCCGAUUUUAUCUAUUUUACAAAGAUACACUGUUAUUACAAAUAUACGCUCCCUCAUUUCCUUUAAAAUAACUCCAACAUUGGCCGAUAUAUGUAUGUAGUAUAAAGUCAACUGAAAGUUUUGUCCACCGGUGCCUGUUUAUAUCUGAAUUUAAUGCUUAGUAAAGGCACUUUAUAGAUUUUCGAUUAAUAACAUUUUGUGGACGCGAUAAUGAUCCGUUUAUCCUUUUGUGCCAAGGAACACGUGCAUCAAGUUUCAUUAAGUUUCCAAGUGUUUGCACAGGCGUACAGACAGACAACCAGUCGGAAUUCAACACGCCUUGUCAUCCUGAUCAUUUAUGUAUUAUAUAUACAUACAUAUGUAUAACCCCAUAUCUAACUCGAUUAUAUUUAGGUGAUACAACAAACAAAUUAUUGACUUAGUGGUUGGGGAUUAGAGUUUCAUUUUAAGAAGUUCGUAUUAAUAUUUAAUUUAAAUUUCGCUGAGUUUCGUUAUUGUAUUACCUACAAAUUUUUUAACUGGUGAUGUUUACAAAGAUACGAAUGUUAUUAAAUCCAUUCUUUAAAUUACAAGGCAAAGAGUUUUGACUGAUAAUUGUUUACAUAUUUGUAAGUAGUAAUAGUGAACAGUUAUGAUUUUUAUGGUUUUUAUAGGUUAUCAACUCAUAAUUAUACCCUGAACAACAUGACGAGCUGAGUCGAUUUUGUCAUGUCAGUCCGUCUGUAUAUUCGCGAACUAGUCUCUAAGUUUUUGAGAUGUCAGUAUAAAAUAUUGCACACGUCCUUUUCUCACCAAGGAGCUGCUUAUUUCUCGGAAGUAACGAUAUCGGACAACUAUAACAUAUAGCUGCCAUAUAAACUGAACGAUCGGAGUCAAGUGCUUGUACAAACAAACUUUUUCAUUUGUCAUUUCUUCAUGAAAUUUGGCACAUUUUAUUAUCCAAGGCAUUGCUUCCAUAUUUUUCAUAUUAGACUACUAUAGCUUAUAGCUGCCAACGAAACUGACCGAUCAAAAUCUGAAUAAAGAUCUUUUUAUAGCCUAUAUGCCUAUGAAGGCUAUUGUAGGUUCGGGACAGCCAAUUCAAAUGUUUUUUUGUUUUUAUUUAAUUUUCCAAUUACUAAUUUUAUCACAUUUAUAUUCAGCGUUUUGCAUUAAUUUUUUUCGUACAUAUACAUAUGUAUAUACAUAAGUAUGUAUAUGCUAUACAAGUACACUCAUAUAUAGAAUGUAUAUUUUUAUAUAUAAGUAUGUAUUUAAUAUUUUACUGCAAGACAAUGGCGGUUUGAAAAAUAAAAAAGUAAACAAUGAGAAAAAAGAGAGUUUCCACCUGCAUCCUACACCACUGCCGCUAGUCGCUAGUUAAUUAUGCACAUACAUAUGUACAUACAUAUGUACAUACAUAUAUGAUUACUGUUAAUAAUAACUUCUCGCACUAAUUAUAUGGUUUUAAUUUUUAAAUAACAAAUUUUAUUGGGUCUCAAUUAACAUGGCUGCUUCUAUAUCAUGCUUGAUAUUACAUAGGUAUGUCUACUCAUACAAAUAUCAAUAUAUCAUACGAGCUUUUAAAAAUUAAUAAAGUCCUUACUUACGUUGUUAUCAGUUUUCCAAUGUACAUACAUAUGCCUCACCCCAUAUUGAAGUUGAUCGAUGCUAGCCAAGAGAAUACAUAUCAUACAUGUACAUACAUAUCUAUGUAUAAACCAAACGUAACUUAUUGAUUCCUAGUACCUUCAGGGAUUUAUUGAUCUUAUGUGUCGCUAUUGUAGAUACUGUUCCAUCUGUCGAAUUAGAAUCGAUGAAAUACUGUUACGUAUCAGCAGGCAUUAAUUUAAGAUUUUUUUAUUAAAAUACCUAAGGUAUGAAAUAUAUGGAGGAUCUACUUAUGGUACAUAAGUAAGGACCAAUUUCAUUAAUUAUAAUAAUUUUCUAAAUCAGUUAUAAAUUACAAGAGUUAUUUUUUAAUAAUCAUUCAGCUUUAAAUACAAGAACGUAAUUAUAUAGAAACAUUAGAUCUGUCAAUAAGAAAUUGCGAAACCACGAUAAAAUAUUGUCAUUGAAGUAUCUUACUCAUGCCUGUAUGUAUGUAUGCACACAGCUCGAAAACAUACACACACUCAUAUAUACAUACAUACUUAUAUGGCCAUAUUAAUUAUAUGGUAUGUUAAACGACGCCGCCUUACAGAAAAAUGCUUUUGAUAAUAUGGUUAAAAAAAUCUUGCCAAAUUUAUAUAACAGAUGACUUAGCAAUAGGAAUAGUGAAUUUAUUUAAACAAAUAUGUUCUGCCCAUUUUUUUACAUAAAUAUUCAUAAAUAAAAAUAAAGUUUUCUAAUUCGAACUUGAAUAUAAGUGUUUUGCAAUAUUACAAAUGUACCUAAGUAUUUACAUAUGUAUGUAUAUUAAAAUUCUAAAGUGAAGUUAAGAAAUAAAUACAAAAAUGUCAUGUGCUGAACACAAUGAACACGACAGUGUACUGAAAAUGGCGUUGUGAAUCCUUCUACAUGAACAUUUGUGAGAAGGCAGCAACAUAACCAGAGAUAAAGAGAUCCCCAACUCUCCUGUCACUGGAAAUGUGAGAACCGCUCACCUACCAAAUUUUGACAGUUGACUGGGUUGGGUAGGUUUUGACGUUUUGCAAUUGGAAUGACUGGAACGGCCAGAUUGAAAUUUUACCAAAAACAUAUGUGAACGGAGGAAUUUGUUGCCGCCGCUCAAGAUCGCUAAUAAAAACUUAAAACAAUGAAAAUCAAAGAAAAUGCGAAAUUUAAAUAUAUUUCAUGAAACGUUUUGCAAUUUGAAACAUAGAAUAAUUAGUUUUCAAUUACAAAUGAUUAAAAACAUUUAUUAAUUGAGGCUUAAUUCACCUUAUUAAGUAGUGAAAUAUCAAAAGUCAGUUAUUUUAAUAUAUCAUAAAAUCAUAAAAAAGGAUUUAAGCAGUUUCGCCAUAUAUUAAAAGUCCAAUAUAUAAUAAUUUGCAAUCAUAAUAAAUGUUGGGUGUUUUAAUUUAAAUGCCCAAAAAUUCUUAUUUUGUUCGAUGUGGCCACAAUGGAAAAUUUUAUAAAAAACGCUUAUUUUGAGGCGCUCUCACACUGGAAUAAGUUGGGCAUCCCAUUAUCCCUGGUUUGUUAUAAAGUAUGUGUAAAGUGUAUCAAUAGAGGGUAUGCAAAUUUUUCUUUUUGUUUCAGCAUUACAAACAGAAUUAUUAUGGAAAAAAGUCGUGACUUUCUAUCAUAUGAAAUAGUACACUUAGAGUAUUAAACAAAAUGAUUAGUAUCACAUGAUUGUGAUUUGAGCUGAUCCAUAUAUAUAGCUCGGAAAAACAAAUUUGCCGCUCAACGUAUUCAAUUAUUUCAUUGUGCUGAAGACAGUAAAAGCACAGCCAGUGAAAAACGUAGAAUCGUGGCUCGUGUCAGCUGCCACGACCUAUCUUAUGGGCGCGCAAUGUAAGUGAACAGUGAAAAACGCUACUCCCUUCUCUCUUUGACGUGGGAUGACGUGAGAAUUCACGACAUUUGGAUUUUUGCAGUGCAAACUUUUAAAAAACGCUUAUUUUGAGGCGCUCUCACACUUCAAUAAGUUGGGCAUCCCAUUAUCCCUGGUUUGUUAUAAAGUAUGUGUAAAGUGUAUCAAUAGAGGGUAUGCAAAUUUUUCUUUUUGUUUCAGCAUUACAAACAGAAUUAUUAUGGAAAAAAGUCGUGACUUUCUAUCAUAUGAAAUAGUACACUUAGAGUAUUAAACAAAAUGAUUAAUAUCACAUGAUUGUGAUUUGAGCUGAUCCAUAUAUAUAGCUCGGAAAAACAAAUUUGCCGCUCAACGUAUUCAAUUAUUUCAUUGUGCUGAAGACAGUAAAAGCACAGCCAGUGAAAAACGUAGAAUCGUGGCUCGUGUCAGCUGCCACGACCUAUCUUAUGGGCGCGCAAUGUAAGUGAACAGUGAAAAACGCUACUCCCUUCUCUCUUUGACGUGGGAUGACGUGAGAAUUCACGACAUUUGGAUUUUUGCCGUGCAAACUUUUAAAAAACGCUUAUUUUGAGGCGCUCUCACACUGGAAUAAGUUGGGCAUCCCAUUAUCCCUGGUUUGUUAUAAAGUAUGUGUAAAGUGUAUCAAUAGAGGGUAUGCAAAUUUUUCUUUUUGUUUCAGCAUUACAAACAGAAUUAUUAUGGAAAAAAGUCGUGACUUUCUAUCAUAUGAAAUAGUACACUUAGAGUAUUAAACAAAAUGAUUAGUAUCACAUGAUUGUGAUUUGAGCUCAUCCAUAUGUAUAGCUCGGAAAAACAAAUUUGCCGCUCAACGUAUUCAAUUAUUUCAUUGUGCUGAAGACAGUAAAAGCACAGCCAGUGAAAAACGUAGAAUCGUGGCUCGUGUCAGCUGCCACGACCUAUCUUAUGGGCGCGCAAUGUAAGUGAACAGUGAAAAACGCUACUCCCUUCUCUCUUUGACGUGGGAUGACGUGAGAAUUCACGACAUUUGGAUUUUUGCCGUGCAAACGUGUCAGCUGAUUGCUCUCUCACAAGGCAGGGUUGCCAAUAUCGAUACACUCUAGUAAUUAUCAACUUUUAUAAUUCAAUCUGUUCAAUAUGUUUGAAAUUUUCAUAAAAUAACUCAAAAUCAGAGUCGAAUGCUAUUAUUUAUAAAUAAGUAAACUAUUUUUAAUAUUGAAAAAAAUUGUAAUUGAAUACAAAGAUGUGCUCGAAACUAUAUAUGCGUAUUGGGCAAUGGCAACAUUGUUCAAAUAUAAACAAACAAAGAUGGCUUA